AAGUCGUAACAAGGUUUCCGUAGGUGAACCUGCGGAAGGAUCAUUAAUGAAAUGAUGUUUUUUGGGGUUUUCCCUGAAAAAUAAUUCACCCUUUGUGCAUUGUUAUUAGAUAUACUUUGGUUAGAGCUUUGAUUUUAUUUAUUGGAAUCAACUUCUUGCUGACUCUAUCCUUUCUGAGGACAGUUGGCUAUGAAGCGGCCUACCAAGGUUUUUUUAUCAAACUCUUGUAUUUUAUCUGACCUAAACUAUUAUAAUUAAAUCAUAACUUUCAACAACGGAUCUCUUGGCUCUC
rnacentral:misc_RNA from 1 species